rnacentral:rRNA from 1 species
GAAAAAAAAUUUUUUUUUCCCCUUUUUAUAGGGGAAAAGAAACCAACAGGGAUCGCCUUAGUAGCGGCGAGUGAAGCGGCAAAAGCUCAAAUUUGAAAUCUGGCACCUUCGGUGUCCGAGUUGUAAUUUGAAGAUCGUAACCUCGGGGUUGGCUCUCGUCUAUGUUUCUUGGAACAGGACGUCACAGAGGGUGAGAAUCCCGUGCGAUGAGAUGCCCAAUCCUAUGUAAGGUGCUUUCGAAGAGUCGAGUUGUUAGGGAAUGCAGCUCUAAGUGGGUGGUAAAUUCCAUCUAAAGCUAAAUAUUGGCGAGAGACCGAUAGCGAACAAGUACAGUGACGGAAAGAUGAAAAGAACUUUGAAAAGAGAGUGAAAAAGUACGUGAAAUCGUUGAAAGGGAAGGGUUUGAGAUCAGACUCGAUAUUUUGUGAGCCUUGCCUUCGUGGCGGGGUGACCCGCAGCUUAUCGGGCCAGCAUCGGUUUGGGCGGUAGGAUAAUGGCGUAGGAAUGUGACUUUGCUUCGGUGAAGUGUUAUAGCCUGCGUCGAUGCUGCCAGCCUAGGACCGAGGACUGCGAUCUAUCAUGCGUGCUGCGUCUGUCCCACUGUAGGU